rnacentral:rRNA from 1 species
AUUGAACGCUGGCGGAAUGCUUUACACAUGCAAGUCGAACGGUAGAGGGGGCAACCCCUCGAGAGUGGCGAACGGGUGAGUAAUAUAUCGGAACGUGCCCAGUCGUGGGGGAUAACGUAGCGAAAGUUACGCUAAUACCGCAUACGAUCUAAGGAUGAAAGCGGGGGAUCGCAAGACCUCGCGCGAUUGGAGCGGCCGAUAUCAGAUUAGGUUAGUUGGUGGGGUAAAGGCUCACCAAGCCAACGAUCUGUAGCUGGUCUGAGAGGACGACCAGCCACAUGGGAAGUGAGAACGGGUCCAGACUCCUACGGGGGGCAGCAGGGGGGAGUUUUGGACAAGGGCCGCAGGUCGGAUCGAGCCAUUCCGCGGGCGGGAUGAGGGCCCUCGGGUUGUAAACCGCUUUUGUAGGGAACAAAAAGGUCUCUCUUAAUACGGGGGGCUCAUGACGGUACCGUAAGAAUAAGCACCGGCUAACUACGGGCCAGCCGCCGCCGUAA